GUAUUGUGAUGGCCUUUUGGCUAACAUCAAGUGUAGUAUCUGUUCUUAUCAAUUGAAUAUCUGUAAAUACCGGGCUUCCUCAAAAAGAAAUUUGGAAAUGCUUAAGCCAGCACAGUGACAGAUAUCACAAUGUAUUGUUUAUCUGUUUAUAUGUAUAUAUUCUAAUGGCAUGAUGAAAAUUCAUUGAGGAUGUAUCCCAC